rnacentral:sRNA from 1 species
GGUAAGCACCAGGCCUUUCAUCUUUAAAGGAGAUGUUCUCAAAAUGCCCAUCUUAGUGGGCCUGGUGAGGAUUUUUUCCAGGAAGUAGGUAGGAAAAGACAGAUUAUCCACAGGAAAGGUGCCUGUAUAGUCAGGCUACCUCCCCCUGUUACACAGAAGUCUAAACCGGAAUGUUUCAAAUUGUAUUCUGCCCACAGAUCACCCAGAGAUCAGGUUCAAAGGUAGAUUUUGGCCAGGCAUGGUGGACCAUGCCUGUAAUCCCAGCACUUUGGGAGGCCAAUCACUUGAGCUCAGGAGUUUGAGACCAGCCUGGGCAACAUGAUGAAACCCCAUCUCUAUGAAAAAUACAAAAAUUAGCCGGGUGUGACAGCUUGCACCUGUAUGUAGUCUUAACUACUUGGGUGGCUGGUGGCCGAAGUGGGAGGGUCACUUGAGUGCAAGAGGCAGAGGCUGCAGUGAUCCAAGAUUGUGGCACUGCACUCCAGCCUGGUAACAGAGUGAGACCCUGUCUCAAAACAAAAAACAAACAAACAAAAAAAACCCAAAGGUAGAUUCUGAUUCAGCAGGUCAGGUGUGGGGCCUAAGAUUCUGCCUUCCCAAUAAGCUCUCACGUGAUACCAAUGCCACUGCUCUGUCAACCACACUUUGAGUAACAAGUGCCUAAACCACUGAUUUCUACCCUGAUUGGUUAGUUCACCAUCCCCUCCUGCCUGCAACCUGCCUCACUGGAGAGGGGGAACUGGAUCUCUUUCCUCUAAGCUCACUCUGCAAGCCCACCUCUAGCUCAGAGGCUUGCCUGUCAACUCCCUGCUCUCAACUCUUGGAAGGACUCAAGACUUCGGGAAAUUGAAGAGUGUUUUUCCCCCAUGAAAACAAUUUCUGUCCACUUAAUUUAUUUACCUAGCCAUUGCUAGGUAGGUUUUAAAAAUGUAUUAAGACCUGAUGCUCUGUCUCCUGCCCAUCCCUGGGCCCAUCCAUUCAAGGCCGCAAUGGGAAGUGGCCACAGCCGUUCAUGGUGGGCCCUAGAGGAUGCAGUUUCUUGUUCUGAUUUGGGGAAUGAAGGUUAUUAGACUGUUGCACUCCAAGCUGGGUUAAUAGCUAACAAGUAGCCAAAUCCUUUGCCUGUGAAACAUCCAAUCUUAGCAUUAAAACAUGCACUGGUUGGGGCAUGACAGCUGUUGCAUUCACAGCAGCUACAAGAUUGUUGAUUCUUACCAGAUCUUCUUGAUACAGGUUUCAUGUGUCCUGAGAGCCCUUCCCAAUACAAUGAGGACAAUAAGGUGCUUUCCCCACUCUUUGGUUUUUGUCUGUUUGUUGUGGGGGACGGAGGAAGGCUGUUCUGUGAUUCAGUACAACUUCACCCAGGGUGGAGCAUGUCAGGCUCUGGCCUGGCUGCUGAAGGGAGCCUGCAGAAUGAGUUAGUGAUCCAGUGGUCAAUUUCAAACUGGUGGGGACCAGAGGCACCGAUGGCAGGAAGCAGCACCCCAUACCCUGAUCACCUUGUCAUCUCCUCCAGCCCUGGCACAUAGGCUGCAAGAAUUUGAGGAGUGUGAAGAAUCCUCUGAGUUGGCAUGGAUGGUACCUUUGUCUGCCUCCCAGGAGUAACUAGUCUCAGCCUGCCACUUAAGAGAGGUCAUCUUAUCUCGAAGGUCAGAGUCAAUUCUAGGCAGUAGCUGCCCUGCUCCAGGUUACAGGCAGGGCUUACAAGGAACUUGCCCUUCUGCUCCGGCCUGUGUAACCCUGGGUUCCUUGUGGGUGUUCCAGGCAGGUUCCUCCAGCGAAGCCAUCUUGAACACAAUGAGCCAGGAGCUGGUCCCAGCGAGCCGAGUGGCCUUGGCUGGGGAGUAUGGAGCAGUCACUUACAGGAAAUCCAAGAGAGGUCCCAAGCAACUAGCCCCUCACCCCAACAUCAUCCGGGUUCUCCGCGCCUUCACCUCUUCCGUGCCGCUGCUGCCAGGGGCCCUGGUUGACUACCCUGAUGUGCUGCCCUCACGCCUCCACCCUGAAGGCCUGGGCCACGGCCGGACGCUGUUCCUCGUUAUGAAGAACUAUCCCUGUACCCUGCGCCAGUACCUUUGUGUGAACACACCCAGCCCCCGCCUCGCCACCAUGAUGCUGCUGCAGCUGCUGGAAGGCGUGGACCAUUUGGUUCAACAGGGCAUCGCACACAGAGACCUGAAAUCCGACAACAUCCUUGUGGAGCUGGACCCAGACGGCUGCCCCUGGCUGGUGAUCGCAGAUUUUGGCUGCUGCCUGGCUGAUGAAAGCAUCGGCCUGCAGUUGCCCUUCAGCAGCUGGUACGUGGAUCGGGGCGGAAACGGCUGCCUGAUGGCCCCAGAGGUGAGUCCCGAGCCUGUCACACGCCAUCGGCAGCCCUUCCCCCACGUGUCCACUGAAUGCAGGAGACUCGAUGCGUUGUGAUAACCCAACACCUCCAUCUUUUCUGACCCAUAAUUUGGCACAAGUUCCUUCCCUGCCACUUUGCUUUCCUCCAGCUUUCCCUCAUGUUCCAGGACAAUGCAAGUCCUGUCACAUAAACCAGGCGGUCUAAGCAGACCCCUUCUGGGUCUGAGCCACAGCUCACUCAAGCUCUGGGUUCCUUGGGACAGAGUUCAGAUUAGCCCAUGAAUCAGGUGAUGUGCAGGACAUGAAAAGGUUAGAUAGGUGGGCAGCGUGAUGUCUCACCCACUUCUGAGCAGGUGUCCACGGCCCGUCCUGGCCCCAGGGCAGUGAUCGACUACAGCAAGGCUGAUGCCUGGGCAGUGGGAGCCAUCGCCUAUGAAAUCUUCGGGCUUGUCAAUCCCUUCUACGGCCAGGGCAGGGCCCACCUUGAAAGCCGCAGCUACCAAGAGGCUCAGCUACCUGCACUGCCCGAGUCAGUGCCUCCAGACGUGAGAGAGCUGGUGAGGGCACUGCUCCAGCGAGACGCCAGCAAGAGACCAUCUGCCCGAGUAGCUGCAAAUGUGCUUCAUCUAAGCCUCUGGGGUGAACAUAUUCUAGCCCUGAAGAAUCUGAAGUUAGACAAGAUGGUUGGCUGGCUCCUCCAACAAUCGGCCGCCACUUUGUUGGCCAACAGGCUCACAGAGAAGUGUUGUGUGGAAACAAAAAUGAAGAUGCUCUUUCUGGCUAACCUGGAGUGUGAAACGCUCUGCCAGGCAGCCCUCCUCCUCUGCUCAUGGAGGGCAGCCCUGUGAUGUCCCUGCAUGGAGCUGGUGAAUUACUAAAAGAACUUGGCAUCCUGUGUGUCGUGAUGGUCUGUGAAUUGUGAGGGUGGGAGUCAGGAGACAAGACGGCGCAGAGGGCUGGUUAGCCGGAAGAGGCCUCGGGCUUGGCAAAUGGAAGAACCUGAGUCAGAGUUCAGUCUGCAGUCCUGUGCUCACAGACAUCUGAAAAGUGAAUGGCCAAGCUGGUCUAGUAGAUGAGGCUGGACUGAGGAAGGGUAGGCCUGCAUCCACAUAGAGGAUCCAGGCCAAGGCACUGGCUGUCAGUGGCAGAGUUUGGCUGUGACAUUUGCCCCUAACACGAGGAACUCGUUUGAAGGGGGCAGCGCAGCAUGUCUGCAUUUGCCACCUGGAUGAAGGCAGACUUCAACAUUGGGUCAGCACGUUCAGUUACGGGAGUGGGAAAUUAUAUGAGGCCUGGGCCUCUGCGUUCCCAAGCUGUGCGUUCUGGACCAGCUACUGAAUUAAUCUCACUUAGCAAAAGUGACUGAUGAGCAGUAAGUAAGUGUGGGGAUUUAAACUUGAGGGUUUCCCUCCUGACUAGCCUCUCUUACAGGAAUUGUGAAAUAUUAAAUGCAAAUUUACAACUGC